UAAACAAACUGAAAAUGUGCGUACUGCCCCCUGGAGGGUGUUGUCUGAACAGGUAUAAAGGAUGGUGAUUUACAGCCCCCUGGAGGGUGUUGUCUGAACAGGUAUAAAGGAUGGUGAUUUACUGCCCCCUGGAGGGUGUUGUCUGAACAGGUAUAAAGGAUGGUGAUUUACUGCCCCCUGGAGGGUGUUGUCUGAACAGGUAUAAAGGAUGGUGAUUUUCAGCCCCCUGGAGUUAUGGAAUGUUUCCUCACGAGUAUAAUUCAUUGGCUGAUCCUUCCUGGUGUGACCUGGAUGGAAUCAUGUGAUCCUU
ensembl:lncRNA